rnacentral:rRNA from 1 species
GACGAACGCCGGCGGCGUGCCUAAUACAUGCAAGUCGUGCGAACGAAGGAGGUGCUUGCACCUCCCAAGUUAGCGGCGGAUGGGUGAGUAACACGUGGGCAACCUGCCCUGCAGAUGGGGAUAACUCCGGGAAACCGGGGCUAAUACCGAAUAAUCCUACACUUCACAUGAAGCGUAGUUAAAAGACGGUUUCGGCUGUCACUGCAGGAUGGGCCCGCGGCGCAUUAGCUAGUUGGUGGGGUAAAGGCUCACCAAGGCGACGAUGCGUAGCCGACCUGAGAGGGUGAUCGGCCACACUGGGACUGAGACACGGGCCCAGACUCCUACGGGAGGCAGCAGUAGGGAAUCUUCCACAAUGGACGAAAGUCUGAUGGAGCGACGCCGCGUGAGUGAUGAAGGUUUUCGGAUCGUAAAGCUCUGUUGUGAGGGGAAGAACAAGUGCGAACUAACUACUCGCACCUUGACGGUACCUCGUUAGAAAGCCACGGCUAACUACGUGCCAGCCGCC